GUCUCAAUAGCAUAGUGGUUAGUGCACAAACCCGGAUAGGUUGAGACGCGGGUUCAAAUCCCGCCUGAGAUG
rnacentral:tRNA from 1 species